rnacentral:rRNA from 1 species
AUUGAACGCUGGCGGCAGGCUUAACACAUGCAAGUCGAGCGAGCGGCGGACGGGUGAGUAAUGUCUGGGAAACCGCCCGAUGGAGGGGGAUAACUACUGGAAACGGUAGCUAAUACCGCAUACCAUCAGAUGUGCCCAGAUGGGAUUAGCUAGUAGGUGGGGUAACGGCCCACCUAGGCGACGAUCCCUAGCUGGACUGAGAGGAUGACCCGCCACACGGGAACGGGAACACGGUCCAGACUCCUACGGGAGGCAGCAGUAGGGAAUGGUGCACAGUAGGCGGAAGCCUGAUGCAACCGGGCCGCGUGUGUGGAGAAAGCCUUGGGGUUGUAAAGCACUUUCAGCGGGGGGACGUUACCCGCAGAAGAAGCACCGGCUAACUCCGUGCCAGCAGCCGCGGUAAUUC